CACGGGAAGAGGGACUUGCUUUUCUCACGUUCCGAGAUUCUUCGGUGUAGAAAUGGGGGGUUCGGAUCGAGAGAAACGGUAGGAAAGGCAAAUAGGUCGUCGCUUCUCAAAUUUGUUUGAUGACAGACUGUUUAUAGCUAUAGUGGCUCGCUAGAAAAUGUAGAAGACUUUUAUACGUAGCUGUAUACAUAUACAUACAUAUCGUGUGUGUGUGGAAAGCAUUUUGAAAUUUCAUUAGCGCUAUAAUAAGACUGCCAUGGUUAUAUGGAUAAAAUUUCAAACUAAUUGGAAAAUGUAUGUAGAAGUUACACGGAGAAUAUAUUUUUUUCUGGGAUUUGUAUUGAUCGAAUAUGCAUAUUUUUUCGAUUCUGUUGCUUAAAGAAAAAGAAAAAAAAAGAGGAGAGCUAAAAACAGUAUUGAAAGGAAACAGCUUGUGCCGUUAAAGACUUCUUGCGGUUAAAGCUAUAUAAAACAUAAACCACAAAUUUCCACUUUCUUCUUCAACUGCCUCUAGAAUUGUUUCAUUUUUUAAGGCAUUUUUAUUGUGGAAGAAGAUUUGAAGAAGAAAAUGAUAUUUAUUUAAAGUAGUACAGUGUUGGAAAUAAUCAGACUACGAAUUUUUAUACAUUCAUGCGAAAUGUAAGGAUGUAAGAAGGCACAAAUUGAAUGAAACUUAAUAAAUAAAUAAAUAAAUAAAUAAAUAUAUAUAUAUAUAUAUAUAUAUAUAUAUAUAUAUAUAAAUAAAUAAAUAGAUGUUUAAUCUUUGUUGGGUCCGCUAUGAGGUUACAAGCACUUGAUCUCGUUUAACCUGUUUAGCCUCCUGAAUAUGUAACAAAUAUUCGCCAUUUAUACGCAUGCUAUACAAUAUAUUAAUGUAUAAAACUAUACAAUAAACACGAUUUAUGUACAAAUACUAGUUGGUACUUACAUACUCAGGUUUUUCCCGCAACAUUAUAUAUUAUAUAAUCUUUUCUAGUAACAUAGUUGACAGUUUUCUGAAUUUCUAUUGGGUUGCUAGGCAUUCUAUAGUCCGUGAAACGAUUGCCACUAGAGAUGGCGUGUAAGAUCACUAACGGGAGAUCUAUCAUAGUAAUCGUAGAAUCAGAAUCAUGGUCGUGACCUAACUUCAUUCACGACCAUGAUGAAUGAAGUUUUUUUCUAUCUCGAAUGAAUUUGCUCAGGGUGAUCGCAAUUCUCGAUCCUGAUUGAAUUAUUUUUUACAGAAUACUUGCAUAUAGCUUGCAUAGAGAUAUCUGCAUAUAACGUUAAUUUAAAAUUGCCUUAAGUUUUCUUUAUAUAUCGUAAAUUUACUUUAUUCAGUAUUAAAAACGAAAAGUAAUUCAAUUUUCCUUUCUUCAUUUUAUAUUAGUGUCUUAAAGAAUAAAACAUUAAUUCUUCCUCUCUAUUUUAAAAUCGUAAUAUUCGCUUGAUAUCGUUAAUAUAAAAUAUACAAGUUACGUGAUUCGUGCGAAGAACAGUUAUGCCCUUUAUCAAUGAGAAGCGAUCAAGAAAAAUUACAAAUUGCUGUAAAAAAUCCCCUUGAUUGCAGACGAACGUGAUCGAGUCGUGAUUCACAAGUAACAGUUCACGCCAUCUCUAGUCUCUGACUCAUAUUUUAGAUUUCUACUUCCUUUGUCAUAUGUUAACGUUUCACACGCCUAAAUCUUAUUCGAUAAAUGGUGAGAACUGCAUAAAAAUGCGUUUAGUAGUUCUCGAGAUUAGCUGUAAUAUACAGACGCUUGCAGUGAAAUUUUAUUUUAUAUUACGUAUACAUAUAGAUACACAAUAUAAUACAUACAAUACUAUACCAUACUUAUUCAUCGAAUUUUCGUAGAAGAAAUGAUUUUUUUUCAACAAAUUUUUCGCGCCAAGACACGAGGUGGUCUGGUUUGAAUAAAAGGGUUGAUUUCUUUGAAGUAAAAAACAGGCACGAACGAAUUAUGCCUAUAUUUCUAGAAACGUCUAACGAACACUUGUGCAAAGUUCGAAAUCGACAUGUAUCGGUUCCCUUGUCAAGUCCAACCAAUACAACAGCAUGUACCAUCGUAUCUUACGAAAUCUAGACGCUGUACGAUACAAUACAAUUGUACAGAAACGAAGUAUAUACAUGUAAGUACGUGUGAGCGCACGUAAUGCACAAUUUACAUAAUAAAAUUUAUAUAAAAAAUAUAUGCAUACAUGUACAGGUAUACAUAUACAAUAAGGAUUAUAAUUUUUAAUAGAUACAACGAAUCUCUAAUUAAGUUCUAUGUUUCUUCAAUUGUGAAAAUAUAAAUUUGCAUAAAAAUUUGCAGUCUGGAAAUAGUUGAAAACUAUCUUAAACAGGAAAAGUGGUAAUAGAAUAAAACAUCUUCCUUAGCUAAACAUCUUCUUGUGCGUGCGUGCGUGCGUGCGUGCGUGCGUGCGUGCGUGCGUGUGUGUGUGUAUUUGUACAAGAUUUGAUUCGAAAUAUUACCACAUUCUGAUACAGGAGAAAGAAAUAGAUUGGAAGAAUUUUAUGCAUAAAUUAUCAUAUAUAGCAAUUUUACCAAUUUUUUAAGUUGAUACUUUUCGCUGUUUUCUUCAUAGAAACGUCUGAGUAACGUUAAAAUUGGUAUAGGAAUUCAUCAUGCCUUCGUAUUUAUCUAAAAGAAAAAAUAACAGCCUGUGAAGAUACAAGGAAUUCGUACGUACAAGUAGUGCAAUUCUGUUAAGAUACAUUGUGUUAUUCGAGAAAUGAAUGGAAGAAACUGUUAUGUAAACAAGAAGACUGGUUCUCCUUGCUAUAUUAGACAAGCAUUGAUGAUUAUCGUCUUUUUGUAAGUUGCUCUUAAAAAAGACGUCCAACAAAUUGCGAGAAGGUAAUUUCGAAAUGGAAUAAAUUACAUUUGUUGGGUUGGUGUAUACAAAAUGUCUUUUUUAAAUGAAACUUUAAUAGCAGGUAGUUUCUUCAAGAACACCAUGUAUUUCAAACAAAAUAAAUUUAACUAGUUUUAUUAUCCUAGAUUUAUCAAACUUAUCAAUUCUAGAAUUUAAAAAUUCUCCAAACGAAAUUGUUACAGUGUUUUAAUAAUCUAUGUAUCAGACAUUUAAUCAGGUUUUCUCUAACUUCUUCCAAACGACAAAUUUAUUUUUUCAACAGCUUUCAUGACACGUUUCGUCAUGCAAGAAAAUUAAACGAAUAUUUUGAUUAUUCAUAAUAGCUAAUAAGAUUUUCAUAUCUACGUUAUAAAUCUUUUUAACAUCGAAUAUACCUAGUUUAUAGCAAACUUGCCUUUCCUUUAUUAUGAUAUUUUAUCGACGAUAGUAUAAAGUUUAAUAGGUGAAAUAAAUAAAAAUUAAUAAAUUAUAAAGGUUAAUCUAAUAUGGUUCGUAAAAUUGAAAGUUUAAAUAAUCAUCAUUUCAUAUGUACAAUGACCAUAUGUAGACAGUAAUGAAACUAGUCGUUGCUAGAAGAAUUAAGAAACUUGGAAAAAGUAAAAACUUCAUGUUAUAUUUAUUUAUUAGAAUAUUUUCAUAUGCAUCAAGCAAGCAACAACCAUAGGCAUACAGUAAUGAAACAAUUCGUUGCCAAAAGAAAUAACAAAUUUUGAAAGAGUCGCAACUUUAUUUUAUAUUUAUGUAUUGGAAGAUUUUACAUUUUUGAAUGUUUAAUGCUUGAAAAAAUUAUUUAUAUAGUGGGAGACUGAACUGUAGAGUGAGUCUCUCGUUAUCGAUUCUGAACAUUCGUUCAUUAACUAUGUAUUCUAAUUCGUAAUAUUUAUUUCUGAAUAUUUACAUCUACGUAUGUGUGGACUUUGUAUCUUGCGAAACAAGUUUUUUUUAAAGAAAUUAUUAAAAAUAAUCGUCUAUAGCGUUCAAGCAACUGGUUAUUAUAUAACGAUAGAAAUUAUCAAUUUUACGGUAAACUUAAAGAAUUGGAUAGUGAAAGAAUUGGAAGAAAAUUUCAGUGGUGAACGGUGCAAUUUUGGGAGAUUACAAGGUAUUCCAGCGAUGGUGAUACAACCGAUAAGAAGAUAACUGUUUAUGAGAAAAUAAAUCAAAAGUGCAGACUAAUGGUUUUACGUAUGAGGAUUCGUUUUCAGAAAGAACGACUAUUUACGAGCUACAAAAAAAAAAAAAAAAAAAAAAAAAAAAAAAAAAAAAAAAAAAAAAAAAAAAAAAAAAAAAAAAAAAAAAAAAAAAAAAGAAAAGAAAAGAAAAGAAAGAAAAAAAUUAAGUGACGAAGAAAA